UACAGAGGGUGCGAGCGUUAAUCGGAAUUACUGGGCGUAAAGCGUGCGUAGACGGUUAUUUAAGUCGGGUGGUGAAAGCCCCGGGCUCAACCUGGGAAUUGCAUUCGAGACUGAAUAGCUAGGGUACGGUAGAGGGAAGCGGAAUUUCCGGUGUAGCGGUGAAAUGCGUAGAUAUCGGAAGGAACAUCAGUGGCGAAAGCGGCUUCCUGGACCAGUACCGACGUUCAGGCACGAAAGCCGUGGGGA
rnacentral:rRNA from 1 species